rfam:Homo sapiens chromosome 1, GRCh38 reference primary assembly.
GCUGGGCAUGGUGGCACGUGCCUGUAGUCCCAGCUACUUGGGAGGCCGAGGCAGGAGAAUCACUUGAACCCAGGAGGCAGAGGCUUCAGUGAGCAGAGAUGCCGUGCCACUGCACUCUAGCCUGGGUGACAGAGUGAGACCCUGUCUCAA